rnacentral:sRNA from 1 species
AUUCCCGGCGAGCAUGUGGCCCCUAUCGGGACCCGUACAAGGGCGGCCUCUUCGGGGCCCACCCCCUUGGGGUCCCCGGCAAGGCGGACGGGGGCUGGGGCGCCGAGUCCCCCGGCUUUGGGAGGUCUUCGCUGACGCCCCGCGUGGCGUUUUCUCCGUCCUCCAGACCAGGAGCUUCGAAAUGUCAUCGACAAGCUCGCCCAGUUCGUGGCUCGCAAUGGGCCCGAGUUUGAGAAGAUGACUAUGGAGAAGCAGAAGGACAACCCCAAAUUCUCGUUUCUUUUCGGAGGCGAAUUCUACAGUUACUACAAGUGCAAGCUGGCGCUGGAGCAGCAGCAGCUCAUCUGCAAGCAGCAGACCCCGGAGCUGGAGCCAGCCACCACCAUGCCGCCCCUGCCACAGCCCCCGCUGGCCCCCGCCGCACCCAUCCCGCAGGCCCAGGGCGCGCCAUCCAUGGACGAGCUCAUCCAGCAGAGCCAGUGGAACCUCCAGCAGCAGGAGCAGCACUUGCUGGCGCUCAGACAGGAGCAAGUGACAGCAGCCGUGGCCCACGCGGUGGAGCAGCAGAUGCAGAAGCUUCUGGAGGAGACCCAGCUAGACAUGAACGAGUUUGACAACCUGCUGCAGCCCAUCAUCGACACGUGCACCAAGGACGCCAUCUCGGCCGGGAAGAACUGGAUGUUCAGCAAUGCCAAGUCCCCGCCACACUGUGAGCUGAUGGCCGGCCACCUCCGGAACCGCAUCACAGCUGACGGGGCGCACUUCGAGCUGCGGCUGCACCUCAUCUACCUGAUCAACGACGUGCUGCACCACUGGUGAGCACCGCCGCCCCGUGCCCAGAGCGCCACUUCCUCGCGCUCCUCCUCAAUCCCACCUGGGCGGCCUCUUGCUCCAGUCAGUAGCUUGGCUUGGCCUGUCCUGAGACUAGGGGGCACUUGUCCAGGGAGCCCGGGUGGGGGGUCUCUGUGAGCCACCAGGCUUCUGUCUGCAGGACUGCAGGGUCUAGGUGUCCUGUGCACCUUCACUGCAUGCCCUGUCCUCUCCCCUAGACCCCGGCCUCACCUGUCACAUUGCUGUCUCCUGGGGGCCACUGUCCCCUGCGCUCCUUCCUCUCAUGGGGCAGCUUUUUGGCGUCUCCUUGUUGCCUUCUCAGCCACGGCCUCCCUGGCCUCUGUGUCUGUCUCCUGCCCUCGUCACUGAUUUGCACACACACACACACGCAGUCACCUGACUUUGCUCAGCCAUCAGGACCCUCCUUUAGGGUCCCCUUCUCCAGCCCUGACCCGUCUCUCAGGCUUCAACAGAGCCACGUCUGCAGACCCUCUGUCCCCACCCAGCCCUCACCCUUCCCACUGUUGCUGUCUCCACCCUCCCCAGGGUUGGGCGGGUAUUUCCUUCUACAGGGUCACCGGGGCCCUUCUCACAAAAAUUA